UCGGCGUGGAUUAGGCAUGCAAGUCGAACGGGAUCCUGUUAAUUCAAAUCUUCGGAUGAGAUGUUCAGGUGAGAGUGGCGGAAGGGUGAGUAAUGUAUGGGCAAUCUGUCCUUAGAGUGGGGAUAACUAUGAGAAAUUAUAGCUAAUACCGAAUGUGGCACUGUAACGCAUGUUACAGCUGUUAAAGGUGGGGAUCUUCGGACCUACCCUCUAAAGAGGAGCCCGUAUGCCAUCAGCUUGUUGGUAAGGUAACGGCUUACCAAGGCUUACGGCUAGCUGGUCUGAGAGGACGACCAGCCACACUGGGACUGAGACACUGCCCAGACUCCUACGGGAGGCUGCAGUCGAGGAUCAUUCGCAAUGCCCGAAAGG
rnacentral:rRNA from 1 species